GUUUGCAAAUGGCCGCCGGCUAAAGAAUGUGAGGUUGUUUACAUCGUAACUCAGCUGGUGUCAAAAUGCAAGAAGUCAACGUUAGUGGUGGCUGUUAGGGUUCGACCCUGCUGCCUAAGGAACGCCUUUGGGGAGAUCAGAUGUGUGUUCAAGUACUCACGCGAACACCAAUCAGCUGAUAGUGGGCAAAGACAGGGCCUUUACAUUUGACCAUGUCUUCAACCAUAAGGCGUCACAGGAGGAUGUAUACCAAACAUGUGUGGACCCACUAGUAAGAAGUAUAUUUGAUGGCUACAAUGCAACUGUCUUCGCAUAUGGGCAAACAGGCUCAGGGAAGACCUUCACUAUUGGAGGAUGUAAUAUCUCGGCCAUUACAGAAGAUGAAUACGGAACUAUACCUCGGGCUAUCAACCAGAUGUUUGACAUUAUGAAGAGCAAUGAGGGAGUGGAGUUCUCUAUCACCGCGUGUCCUACAUUGAAAUCUACAAGGAGGAGUUACAGGAUCUCCUCGAUGUAGACAAGUGCAGCAAAGAUCUCCACGCACGAGAAGAUGACCAGGGCAACACAGUGAUUAUCGGGGUCAAGGAGGUCGAGUGUGAGACCCUGGAUGAUGUCAUGUCCCUCCUAGAGUCAGGAUCAGCAGCCCGACAUACAGGCUCCACUCAGAUGAACGAACAUUCCAGUCGCUCACAUUCCAUCUUUACCAUUGUUAUCAGUCAGAAGUGGUGUCGAAGAUGAUAUGUUCUAGCAUCAAGGCUUAUCACGGCAUACAAGCGACAGCAGUGACAUACUGGAAGAUGAAGCCAUCCAUGAGCCACACUGAUGGCAGGGAAAUUCCACUUUGUUGACCUUGCAGGAUCUGAAAGGGCACACAGAACGGGAAUGCUGGAGACCGCUUCAAGGAGUCCAUUCACAUCAAUACAGGACUUCUGUCACUGGGGAACGUCCAUCAGCGCCCCCUCGGGAUCCGAAGAAGAAGAGCACCCACAUUCCAUACCGGGAGUCCAAGAUUACAC